UUUCGGCUAGGGGGCCAUCCCGGCUUACCAACCCGAUGCAAACUGCGAAUACCGGAGAAUGUUAUCACGGGAGACACACGGCGGGUGCUAACGUCCGUCGUGAAGAGGGAAACAACCCAGACCGCCAGCUAAGGUCCCAAAGUCAUGGUUAAGUGGGAAACGAUGUGGGAAGGCCCAGACAGCCAGGAUGUUGGCUUAGAAGCAGCCAUCAUUUAAAGAAAGCGUAAUAGCUCACUGGUCGAGUCGGCCUGCGCGGAAGAUGUAACGGGGCUAAACCAUGCACCGAAGCUGCGGCAGCGACACUGUGUGUUGUUGGGUAGGGGAGCGUUCUGUAAGCCUGUGAAGGUGUGUCGUGAGGCAUGCUGGAGGUAUCAGAAGUGCGAAUGCUGACAUAAGUAACGAUAAAGCGGGUGAAAAGCCCGCUCGCCGGAAGACCAAGGGUUCCUGUCCAACGUUAAUCGGGGCAGGGUGAGUCGACCCCUAAGGCGAGGCCGAAAGGCGUAGUCGAUGGGAAACGGGUUAAUAUUCCCGUACUUGGUGUUACUGCGAAGGGGGGACGGAGAAGGCUAUGUUGGCCGGGCGACGGUUGUCCCGGUUUAAGCGUGUAGGUGUGUGUUCCAGGUAAAUCCGGUUCACUUUAACACUGAGGCGUGACGACGAGGCACUACGGUGCUGAAGCAACAAAUGCCCUGCUUCCAGGAAAAGCCUCUAAGCAUCAGGUAACAUCAAAUCGUACCCCAAACCGACACAGGUGGUCAGGUAGAGAAUACCAAGGCGCUUGAGAGAACUCGGGUGAAGGAACUAGGCAAAAUGGUGCCGUAACUUCGGGAGAAGGCACGCUGACACGUAGGUGAAGUGAUUUACUCAUGGAGCUGAAGUCAGUCGAAGAUACCAGCUGGCUGCAACUGUUUAUUAAAAACACAGCACUGUGCAAACACGAAAGUGGACGUAUACGGUGUGACGCCUGCCCGGUGCCGGAAGGUUAAUUGAUGGGGUCAGCGCAAGCGAAGCUCCUGAUCGAAGCCCCGGUAAACGGCGGCCGUAACUAUAACGGUCCUAAGGUAGCGAAAUUCCUUGUCGGGUAAGUUCCGACCUGCACGAAUGGCGUAAUGAUGGCCAGGCUGUCUCCACCCGAGACUCAGUGAAAUUGAACUCGCUGUGAAGAUGCAGUGUACCCGCGGCAAGACGGAAAGACCCCGUGAACCUUUACUAUAGCUUGACACUGAACAUUGAGCCUUGAUGUGUAGGAUAGGUGGGAGGCUUUGAAGUGUGGACGCCAGUCUGCAUGGAGCCGACCUUGAAAUACCACCCUUUAAUGUUUGAUGUUCUAACGUGGACCCGUUACCCGGGUUGCGGACAGUGUCUGGUGGGUAGUUUGACUGGGGCGGUCUCCUCCUAAAGAGUAACGGAGGAGCACGAAGGUUGGCUAAUCCUGGUCGGACAUCAGGAGGUUAGUGCAAUGGCAUAAGCCAGCUUGACUGCGAGCGUGACGGCGCGAGCAGGUGCGAAAGCAGGUCAUAGUGAUCCGGUGGUUCUGAAUGGAAGGGCCAUCGCUCAACGGAUAAAAGGUACUCCGGGGAUAACAGGCUGAUACCGCCCAAGAGUUCAUAUCGACGGCGGUGUUUGGCACCUCGAUGUCGGCUCAUCACAUCCUGGGGCUGAAGUAGGUCCCAAGGGUAUGGCUGUUCGCCAUUUAAAGUGGUACGCGAGCUGGGUUUAGAACGUCGUGAGACAGUUCGGUCCCUAUCUGCCGUGGGCGCUGGAGAACUGAGGGGGGCUGCUCCUAGUACGAGAGGACCGGAGUGGACGCAUCACUGGUGUUCGGGUUGUCAUGCCAAUGGCACUGCCCGGUAGCUAAAUGCGGAAGAGAUAAGUGCUGAAAGCAUCUAAGCACGAAACUUGCCCCGA
rnacentral:rRNA from 1 species